rnacentral:lncRNA from 1 species
UUCCAUAUAAUCUUAACGAAAUUAGAAAUAUCGAAAUUAAUCGUUUAAGACUUAAUCAAGUACUCUACACUCAGGCAAGCUGUAAUAAAGGAACAUUAAGUCCGAUAGAGGUGAAGGUAUGGAGAGAAGUGUAUUUAUAUAUGAGCUUAUAAAUUAUAUCAAAGAUAUUCAUGCAUCUCUAAGCUAGGCCAUAAACAUAUAUAGUCGAAUACUAUUUCCGUGGUCGCAAACAAAUAAGUAGCGAGACUUCGUUGUUCGUAAUUCAAUUCAAUUUAAUUUAUAAUUGAUAUGAUUGAUUGAAG